AUUGAACGCUGGCGGCAGGCUUAACACAUGCAAGUCGAACGAGUGGCGGACGGGUGAGUAAUGCUUGGGAAUCUGGCUGAUGGAGGGGGAUAACUACGGGAAACUGUAGCUAAUACCGCGUACCAUAGGAUGAGCCCAAGUGGGAUUAGGUAGUUGGUGGGGUAAAGGCUCACCAAGGCGACGAUCCCUAGCUGGUCUGAGAGGAUGACCCGGCAACCGGGGACUGAGACACGGCCCAGAACCCUACGGGAGGCAGCAGUGGGGAAUUUUGCGCAAUUGGGGCAACGUGACGGAGGCAUGCCGCGGGAAUGAAGGAGGCCUUCGGGUUGUAAAGCUCUGUUAAUCGGGAGACGGUACCGGAAUAGAAAGCAACGGCUAACUACGUGCCAGCAGCCGCGGUAAUUC
rnacentral:rRNA from 1 species